UUCUGGUUGAUCCCGCCGGACCUGACUGCUAUCGGAUUGAUACUAAGCCAUGCGAGUCUUUGUAGUAAUACAAGGCAGACGGCUCAGUAACACGUAGUCAACCUACCCUAUGGACGAGAAUAAUCUCGGGAAACUGAGCAUAAUUCUUGAUAGAUCAUAAUGCCUGGAAUGGUUUAUGGUUAAAAUGAUUCGUCGCCAUAGGAUGGGGCUGCGGCCUAUCAGCUUGUUGGUGAGGUAAUGGCCCACCAAGGCGAUUACAGGUACGGGCUCUGAGAGGAGAAGCCCGGAGAUGGGUACUGAGACACGGACCCAGGCCCUAUGGGGCGCAGCAGGCGAGAAAACUUUGCAAUGUGCGAAAGCACGACAAGGUUAAUCCGAGUGAUUUCUGCUAAAGAAAUCUUUUGCCAGUCGUAAAACCGCUGGUGAAUAAGGGGUGGGCAAGUUCUGGUGCCAGCAGCCGCGGUAAU
rnacentral:rRNA from 1 species